UACGGGGGGGAGCAAGCGUUGUUCGGAUUUACUGGGCGUAAAGGGCGCGUAGGCGGCCACUGCAAGUCGGUUGUGAAAUCUCCGGGCUUAACCCGGAAAGGUCAAUCGAUACCGCAGGGCUAGAGUGCAGAAGGGGCAACUGGAAUUCUCGGUGUAGCGGUGAAAUGCGUAGAUAUCGAGAGGAACACCUGCGGCGAAGGCGGGUUGCUGGGCUGACACUGACGCUGACAGCGCGAAAGCUAGGGGAGCGAACGGG
rnacentral:rRNA from 1 species